AUUUUCACGCUCGUCCAGGCGACCUCAAUUUUGGGUGAACUUAACUCAAUUUCACAAGUUGUUCUAAAACGUCAAACGCUGAGUAAGAGAGAUUUAUGAAAUUGAGUGACUGUUACUCAAACUAAAAUAAAUAAGUAACUAACUGAAAUUUGAGUUCACCGUGAAAAUUUUAGAAAAAUGGCGAAGUUCAACGGUCAGUAAUAGCAAAAGGGUUAAAAUUUGUUAAUUUGUUUCAUAGCCGAGUCCAGAGACUUUUAUUCCGGAAAAGAUUUUAUUGGAGUCAGCUUAAUCAACAGAAAAAUACGAGAAAGGCAAAAACAGUCAUUGCUCAGGAGGGAUUUUGUUCGAUUAAAUGAACAACAUUGCAUUUGCAUCCAGUUGUUUAUAGACUUCGUUCGACGACUGCUGAAUUUUUACAUCGUUGCCAGCUAUCACGAGACUCUUUAUCGGCGAAAUUCAAGUCAAGGAUGCUCCGAAGACAUGACGGGAACAUCUAGCAUGCUAAUAUAUUUAAGAAAGGCUCAGCGAAAACUUCUUCCGUUUUGAAUAGAGACCGAAGCGUCCAACAUACGUCGCAGAAAAUAUGGCCAGAUCUAUAAACAACGGGCUCUCCGUUUCCUCCAAUCUCAUACAUAUAUAUUUUUAAACCUUUUUAAUUUAUUUUAUAUUAAGCUUUGUAUCUAUUUAUAUACGAACGAGUUUGGCAAAUAAAAUGAAUAAAAUGCUUUUCAUUUUUC